UUUCUUCUUCUUUCUUACUUGUACUAUUAUUUCUUCAUCUUCCUUUCUUCAAUUUCAACUUGAAUUUUCUCUUACAACAUCAAUUUCACAAAUUUGAGGUUCACAGGUAUAAUAUUUUUUGUUUAGUUGCUAAACCUUGUUUUUUAUCUCUUGAAAUGUACUGUUUGGUGUUGUGCUGAAGAGAAAGAGAGAAAAUUUUGGUGUUUUGUGUAUUUGGGAGUUUGAUGAAUGAUUUUGAGGGCCUUUUAAUUAGAGAAAGAUUGGAUUUUGAGUGCUUAAGGUACUGUUUGGUGUUGUGCUAAAGAGACAAGAGAGAAAUUUUGGUAUUUGAGUUUGAUGAAUGGCUUUGAGGGUCUUUUGAUUGGAGAAAGAUUGAAUUUUGAGUGCUUAAGGUACUGUUUGGUGUUGUGCUGAAGAGAGAGAGAAAAUUUUGGUGUUUUGUGUAUUUGGGAGUUUGAUGAAUGGUUUUGAGGAUAUUUUGAUUAGAGAAAGAUUGGAUUUUGAGUGCUUAAAGGACUGUUUGGUGUUGUGAUGAAGAGACGAGAGAAAUUUAGUGUUUUGUGUAUAUGGGAAUUUGGUAAAUGGUUUUGAGGGUCUUUAAUUGGAGAAAGAUUGGAUUUUGAAAGGUUUAUAUAGAGUUGUUAUAUAAAAAUGGUGAGUGAUACUUUGUUUCAUUAUAGAAAGAACUCAUGGCCACCCGAGGAGUAUAUCACUAAAGCAACUUUGCAAUUGUUCAAUUUUGAUAGUGUUGCACCACCAUCUCAAGCUUGGAGAAGGAAGCUAAACAACCAUGCUAGCAAUUAAAAGAAUUUAGUAUCACAUUCAGAGAGGCAAUAAAAAUGGUUCGACUUGGUAUACGCCUAUGGUCAUAUGUAAGGGAAGAAACAUUUUAUGGAAGGGUGACUUUCUCAAUCUCAUUUGUUUUAUGACGAUCACAAGAUAAUUCAUGCUUAGAACGAGUGUUGUAAUGUUAAGGGCUUUCAGUAGACUUACCAUUCUCUUACAUAUGCAAAGAUCUCCAAUUGAUCCAUUUGCAUGAAAAUGAUGUAAACCAUCAGCAUCUCAUAGUGUUCCACCUGGAGGGAUGGGGAGUGGCAACAUAUCCAGAGGCUUUAGAAGCGAGUUCAAGAACUUCCAAAUUCUUCCUGGAACAUAUGAGACUUCUCUAAUUAUAGCCAAUUAGUUCUCAGAAAUUGAUGAGGACAACGAUACAGAUAGUGGAGGAGAAAUGGUUGAUGUGGAUUUAACUCCUGGGACCAAGUCCACAUAUAAAAUCCUAUCUUAACAAGAACUUAUCUGGCGUGCUUUUGCUGAUGAUGACAUUGAAGAUGAAUUUGAGAGAGAAAAACAAGAUGCUUUGAAUGAGGAAGUUUCAGUUAUGAGAAUUGGGAGCUGGGAGAUAAUAUUGUUUUAGUAUCGAUUAUAAUUUGUAAUCAACAAAUUGCAAUUUAGAAAAGUUACAACUGAUGGAUUUCUGAAAA